CUCAGUGGCGCUUCCUGGUUGAACACAUCAGUGUGCCAGGAGGGGAUGUCUCCUGAUUUCCCGGGAGAGGCACGGAGGCUCUGUGCUCAGGAACCUCCCAGAUCCCAUCCUAUGUGUCUCUUUAUGUAGCUGGUCCUGAUUUCAUUUUUUAGAAUAAAACUGUAAUAAGAAGAAGUCCCUGUAGGGGCGGGAGGGAGAGAAAGAGAAGAAGAGAGAUUGAUCAGUUGCCUCUGGCAUGCGACCCAACUGGGGACUGAACUCCACAACCUAGGUUCCUGGCCUGUGCCCUUUUCGGCUACAUUCAAACCUAAGAUGGUGACAUCCGGGUUUUCUCUCUAGACAGCUAAGUUCUCUGAUUUGAUCCCUCAGGAGAUGGGGACCCACCUCUCUCAUGGGACACUGCUUCCUCUAACAGAGAAUAGUAAGAGGCUUUAUUUUUACUCUGCUUUCUCUGAACUCCAAGGUGAUAGCCGAGGCUGGCUCAAGGUCAUGGAUCCCAAUAUUCUUGUCCCAUGGUGGUGGCCUUGAGUCUCUCUCCAGGCUGCCAGGCCCCCUAAGCCGCCCUUACCUUGAAGAAGAGAGAUUGCCAGGAUGAGGCCGGCCAGACGCUUCCCCUGCUCCAUGUCGGUCGCUGUCCUUCUCCCGCAGAAGCACUGAGCAACCGCUAGCAGCCAGCCAGCCUGCGCAGUACUCGCCUGGCUC